AACCUUGCUUAAACUGAUCAAAGGCGGAUAAACUGUCAUUUUUAAGAGUUGUUAAGAAUCUUAUCGAUCAAUUUGUACUAUUAAACCUGUUAACUAUGCAUUUUUGUAAAACCUAGAUAUAAUUUCUGUUAAUAAUGAUAUUCGUACACCUCUUUAAUGUAUCGACGUUUCUUUCCGACCAAAUGAUGAGAAAUAUGCAACAAGUAUUAAUCGUAGCCGCACAGCAUGCUCAAAAUCAGAGAAUUACUUUAUGAAUACUAAAAAAUUAAAAGAAUUUCCGUUACAUAAGCUAUAAUAAAUUAACAUUUGUUUACUUUUUAGUCAUUUUACGACACUCAGACAUAUUAAUGAUAGACACGUCAGAUUUACGGUAACACUGACAAGGGAAGCUACUACUUGGUAUCAACUUUAUUUUCUCACAAGAUUACUUCCCAUUUGAACGAUAAUAGUCUGGUUUAAGGAUUGCAUCGAAGUCUACUUCACACCUAGGUUAUUUUCGGAUUAUCUUACAUUAGUCUUCAGCUUUUUUUCAGUCGUAGUUGUCUCAAGGGAGGUCUUGCUUGAUAACUACUACAUUUUAUUUAUUUAUUACUUCCCAUGCGUUUUUUACUCGGCUGAUUCAGAGACUUUUUUGUCACUAAUACAGGUGAAUAAUGAAGAGCUCCAUAGCUCUAAUGUUAUGUAUUAACUAAUUAACACUUACUUUUAGCGUGCUAGGGAUUUAUUAGCUUCAAAUGCAUCUCACAUAUUUCAUAAGUUUGAAUUAUAUAGUUUGCCUACCAAGAUGGCGACAGCAUCAGCAGAGCCCAACGAAAGAGAGUGUCCGGUGUGCAUGAAUGACUUCGAGACACCAAAGAUUCUACCGUGUGGUCAUCUCCUGUGCCGAAAAUGUGUCAUUCCGUUGUGGAAAACUAAUGCUUGUCCGCUGUGUAGAGGUCAAAUUUUUGAUUCUCCGUUACACUUCAUGUUAAUAUUUAAAGUGGUGAAGAUAGAAAACUUUGUCAACCACCUGCCGACAGAUUUUGUGAUGGAAGCGCUGGUGCAGAGUGCUCGUGUGCUGGCUAAAGGUACCGCGUGUGGGACAUGCGAUGCCAAUAACAAGGCUGAGUUUAUCUGUAUGCAGUGCCUGGACACAAUGUGUUCAUCAUGUCACAAGAUACACAAGAAGAUGUCAAUGUCCCGCAGUCACGAUGUGGAGAGUCUCUCCUCUGUGACACCUGAGCGUCUGGCUGCUAGCGGCCCCCCGCUGUGUGCUGACCACGGCGACAAACAGUUUCUCUUUUGUCAAGAUUGUUAAGGUCUAAACUGUGUUUAUGUACACUUUCCUGUCUUUCGAAAAUAGAAAAUAAAAUGUUCGGAAUAUUUAGAAUUAGUUAGUUUCCUUAGUUGUCUGUGUGGGUGUGUUUGUGUGGGUGUUUGUGUGUUUUACAGGUGGUAUCAUCCGCAAUCCUUACACAUGGUUUUCCCCCCUUAAACUUACAGUCGAUAUAUUAUCAAUAUUAUUGAUAUCAGAAGAGACAAAGAAAGGUUUCUUUUCUAAAAAAAAAUGUUACAGACUCCUAAGAAACUCUAUUUUGUUCUACAUCCCUCUAUUUCUGUUACUCCCAAGCUUCAACGAACUAUGUGAAUUAAGUCUUGCACACACUUGCUCACGCAUGCGUACGACAGAUUACAAACACACAACAUCUUUAUGAGUUCACGCAGGCAAAGGUGAAGAAUAUUUAGUUGUAGUCAGAGAUGGAAAGUGAAAGCAUUAAUGCUAGACAGUGGUCAGAGAGGUGGAAGUCAGGAGAAAGUACCUUGCUUCAGGACCUGAACGAAGACAACACCACAGGUCGUCCAUCAGAUGGUAGAACAAGAAUUUACCGUUGCCCUAGUGUUGUAGACUCAGUGCGUGUAAACUAACAAUACUCUUGUAAGCAAGAUUGAGACUGUGGCAUGAAAAUACAGAUGUUUUGGUUCUAAAUGAUAAUACGUAUACGCCUCUAGAAUCACAAUUAAGUGUAUUAAAUAAAAGAACAUUGAUGCACAUUUGUUCGUUCCCAGUGCUCAGUACUACAGAUUACUUCUUUUUUCGUAUCAUAACCGUGUGAUGAUAAGUUGUAAUAAAAAAGUGUUAAUAAGUUUGGAAUAUCUACAUGUGAACCUAGAAAGUUUAUAGACAUGCACACUGACCACAAACACGUAAAUAGAUGAAGAUACAAUCAGCCUGCAGAAGCCAGCUCUUGGCUGACCAUUUGGCUGAAGAGAUUGUUGGCCGUCGUAGAGGUCAAGUGUAGGUAUGGCAGGUCAGUACAGACAUUAACAAACCAGUUAUUCACAGAUUGCUUAAAAAGUGCGUUUUUUCACUGUUAUGAAUAAAAACAAUUAAUCUGUAAUAUUGUAUGCGACUGUAAUCACUGAAUGCGAUUUUUUCAAUGUGUCCUUUUUUGUACAUUGGCGAACUUUGGACCACGCUUUUAUUUCUAGACAGGCUUGAUGAAACAUUCCCCCAUAUUUGAAUGUAGGACCUUUAGGAACUCAAUCUAUAAAAAGCAUGUUCAAUCGCAUUUUAGACAUCUUCACGGCAAUGGCCUAAAUACUAGGCUAGAAGCCAGGAAGAACAGCAAAGGAAAUUAAUUUUUUUACCCAUUAUAAUCCAUCCAGAAUAUUUCAGAAUAAUUGUAUGUGAAGGUGAUUGAUAUUAAAAAGAAAUGCAAUUGAUGCUGUCGACCCUUUGUCCGAAUAUUGAAACACAUAUUUACAAUAAAAAAAUUAAUGCACGUUUAGAGAUAAACAAAGAAAAGUUUGAUAAACAAUGGCUACCAUAAUUAUAAAUAACUUGUUUACUAAACUAAAUACUCUCUCUAUAUAUAAAUGACUUCGUGAUUACCUAAAACUACAUAUGUCUUGAUAUAAUAGACAUUAAUAUUUUUGUUUUGUCAGCCUAUGACACAUGGGAUCCAAGGUACCUUCUAUUGCUUGAUUUGUGUGGUAUGACAAAAGAAAACAUACUCUGUUUCUGUUGUGUAAAAUUUUACAUUGCUGGCUUCAUUGGCAGAUGGGUGUAUUCUUAAAAUGACUGGUAAUAUAUGUGCAUGUGUUUGUUUUUCUGUUGUUAUAUUGUAAAAUAUUGCAUAUUUAUGUGAAAUGUAUCUGUGAGAGAUAAAAAAUGUUUUUUUAAAAAAAUGAUGCUGCCGUGGUUCUGUGUCUGCAUUGAUGAACACACGCUCACACACACACACACACCUUCGAUCAAAUGUCUUAUCGACAAACUCACAAGGAAUAAGUGAACUGUUGUUUUCUAGGAAUCAGACUAAUUUUACUAAAGGUACUUCAUUGUUUAUGCCGAACCCUGCGCUAUAUUUCAAGGGUCCUUAUUGCGCUGUUGCGAAUGUCAGAUAGGCAGAGCUUAUAACGAACAGACAGACUGACAAUGUUGUCUUACGCAACCAAGAUGGAAAUUUGGGGUAUUUUUUUCUCUAUAGCAACACAUUUCAUUCUAUACUUAUAGAAUCCAUUCUAUAGCUAAAGAGCAAAGAAAGUUGUAAAAGUUAAAGUAUUUCAUAUAUAUAAAUAUAACUUAUAAAAUAAAUUCUGUACAGAGCUGAAAUGCAUACAGAACGAGGCUGGCUUACUUGCAUAUGGGGAAAGAAGGUCAAAGAUCAACUAAUUAGUGCCCUGGAAACAUAGCCUUAUAAUUUAUGGCGUAUUCACGCUCUGGACACCUCGUCGUGACAAGAAAAUUUUAAAGAAAAAGUAACUCAACAAAUCAAGAUAUGCGCUAGAGAAAUGAAUAGAGAUGGUGACCUCACACAGAUAUACAGCAAGCAUGUAAUAUAUUUUUUUGCUCCGUUCAAAGCACACAUAGAUAUCAACGGGUAUCAACUGAUAGAGCACACGACCAAACGUUCUAGCUCUCGCCCCUCUGUUGAUAACUCCAUUCGUUAUCAUUUUACUGCUCAUAGCAAAAUGUUGAUUUGCUAACAAAGACAAACCAUUCUUUCCAGGGAGUAAAUGUCUCUAUCCUCGUGUAACUAUGUUUCUGAUAAAUGCAUAGUACUUCAAACUUAUUUCUUGGGUGACCUAAAGUUGGUCACCCAGCACCAGUCUUUGUGUUCCACGAAAACUGCGGAACCAACAUUCGUCUGACGAACGGUAACAGGACCGCGGAGAAGAUACAGCCGCAUGCGUUUAAUAAUGGGGUGGUCGUGUCACGUGACCCUAUGUUGGCCGACGUCUUGUAUGAAGUCAGAGUGGACACAGUAACAGGCGGGUACAACGAGCUAGCACUGGGUGUGACAAGAAUUUCUCCUGCACACGUCUUUGUGACAAAAUAUGCUUCAGAGCUGCCAGACUCCGUUAUCAUCGGGCCCGGUGAGGUCUCCUACCAGCAAAGAUGUAUGCAGAUACCGCUCGGAGUAGACCUCAAGAGACUUCACGUCGGGAGUCGAGUCGGGUUGCUGGUGACCUCAUCAAACGACCUUCACCUCUACAUUGACGGACGACCAGGGUGUUGUAGCCAAAAUGUUACA